rnacentral:rRNA from 2 species
GGAUGCGAUCAUACCAGCACUAAAGCACCGGAUCCCAUCAGAACUCCGUAGUUAAGCGUGCUUGGGCGAGAGUAGUACUAGGAUGGGUGACCUCCUGGGAAGUCCUCGGGUUGCAUUCC